rnacentral:lncRNA from 1 species
GGGUUUUAUAGAGUACCAAAAUGGUACCGUUUUGCAGAGCCCCCAGACGCCCAAAACGACAUCGUUUUGUGGAGGCCGACCCGACCCGGCCUAGGAUCCGCGUGUUUUUGAGCGGAGGGGUAAAUUGCGUUUUUAGCCUCUUCAUCUUUUAAUAUUUUUGCAAUUAAGUUUAUUUUGUUUUUUUUUAAAUUCGCUUUUAGUUUAUUUUAAAAUUCAAUUUGAUCCCUAUCGAACGACGCCGUUUAGAGGGAAAGGGAAAUUUCCCUUCCAGCCCCUCCAUGAUUAUACGCGCGUUCAAUACAG